CUGAAUUCGGGUCAUCGGUCGGGGCAGCAAACCCCAUUCACCCACUGAGCCACCUCACAAACCAUUCAUCAAGCCACCUCUAGGUGUGACACCCUCUUCCAUCCUAAGGACAAGCCUGAUUAUGACAUUGGAGAUGGAAGAAACACUGGUCACCAAAGGCACGUUUCCUAUCUCCCUGCUGGGAGGAAAGCAGUUGGGCAGCAUUUAUGUUUGAGGUAGACUGCAAAAACAUUUGUUCCCCAACAGAGAGAAGCAGCGGUGGAGACUCCAGAGGGAGAGAGAGAAAAUGUCCCCGUGGUGGAAUGGGGACGGAAUCUGGAGCCAUCACAGAUGACAAGCUGUGUACUCCUGGUUCCUGGCACAGAACUUCCAGGAUUAGGGGAGGGUUCAGCUGCAAAGCAUGAGAAGGAGGCUGCGCACCAGGCCAGGAGGGAAUCCUACCAGCCAAUGGGGAAGGGCAAGAGGAGCUACUUGUCUACAAUCCAUCCGUGGGCUUCAGCUGGAGGCUUCUGGGCAGUUACCAACGCCAAGGAAGGCGGAGCCCUCAGUAAUGAUUGACAUUGGCUGCUUCCAUGACUCCCGCUGUAGCCCCAGGGUGGACCUAGGGCUUCUCCUGUGAAUCCGCAGCUAAGGAGACUCCAGGCCACCAAAAACCCAAGGAAGGAGUCAAGACUGGGGGCGAUGAUCAUAUCAGUUCGAAGGUGGCAGACAGGAUGCCUCUGGGGUGCAGUUUAAGAGACAGACACAACUUAGGAGCCAAUGAAAGCUUGUUGUGAAUGACAGGCUCUGUCAGCGAGGCAGAUCAGAUUCUGGUCGGAUGGGCAACCAAUCAGUGAAACAGAUGCACCUGCCCAGCUGCAAAUGGAGGAGGAAGCUAGGACAGAUGUGUUUGUUAAACAAGGAGCCUGCUGCUCUAUUCCAGAACGUCCUUAUAGACUAAGAAUGCAUUCUCCGUCAGAAAGAUGCAGUUUGGUUCCUGCGCACACUACCACACUGCAGUUUUCUCUAUUUGAUCAUUUCCCCUUCCACAGUCCUUUAUCGGAUACAAAGUAACCGGUGUAUGUGCACAAGCAUAUUGAGUGGUUCUUUUUCUUUUUUAAACUAAAUGACCAAUGCUCCAUUUGGGUUGCCGUCAGGUGGUCUGGGGGACAGCGCUGUUUCUGUGAAAAUAUCCCCCCCCCCCACUUCCAUCAGCGGCACAAUCACUUAGCUCUGGUUCCAGUAAAAGUUGUUUUGUUCUCGUUGUUUUAACCAAGGACCCAACAACAUAAAACUCCUUGCAUGCCUCGUUCA